AGGAGGAUGAGGAUGACGAGGACGAGGAGUAAGAGACUCCACUAACCUCGAUGGCUGUUCGUAUGUAUGAUGAAGUCUACGACCGUAACGUGGAACUUCAGGACACAGUUGCGGAGUUGCAGGAGAUAGUAGCUGAACAACAGACUGCAAUGGCACAGAAGGACGACGACAUCCAGGAUCGAGAUGAACAUCUAACAAAUGUUGAAGAGAAGCUAAUGUAGACU
rnacentral:lncRNA from 1 species